rnacentral:tRNA from 1 species
GGGCGGUUAGCUCAGUUGGUUAGAGCGUCUGCCUUACAAAGCACAGAGCGGCGUUCCAAUGAUUACAUCCUU